rnacentral:rRNA from 1 species
UACGUAGGCAGCAAGCGUUGUUCGGAGUUACUGGGCGUAAAGGGUGUGUAGGCGGUUAUUUAAGUUUGGUGUGAAAUCUCCCGGCUCAACCGGGAGGGUGCGCCGAAUACUGAAUGACUUGGAGUGCGGGAGAGGAAAGUGGAAUUCCUGGUGUAGCGGUGAAAUGCGUAGAUAUCGGGAGGAACACCUGAGGCGAAGGCGGGCUACUGGGCCGAUACUGACGCUGAUGUGCGAAAGCCAGGGGAGCGAACGGG